GUCAGCACCUUCCACUCCGUUUAUGGCGCAGUGUACAGAGCAUGACAUCGUAUCUCUCAGGCUGACCCGCUAACAAACACAAAGAUCAGAACACAGCGUCGCUAAAGCCUAGAAAUCAGAUCUGUCAUAUAUAGGGGAUCCAAAUGGAGCGAUGGAGUGUGGAGACAGUGGAGAACUAGGAGUGGAACACAGGUGCAACUAACAGAAUCAUACAAAACCUUCAUGAUCAUGUUUCGGUACUGUCUAUGUCAAUGCAGGAUCUGCUGUGGUUUAUUUAUUUGAAGUCAUACACGGUUGGUGGAGUUAUUUACUCUAAAUAAUGUUAAUGAAAAUGAC